CUGGCGGCGUGCCUAAUACAUGCAAGUAGAACGCUGAAGAGAGGAGCUUGCUCUUCUUGGAUGAGUUGCGAACGGGUGAGUAACGCGUAGGUAACCUGCCUUGUAGCGGGGGAUAACUAUUGGAAACGAUAGCUAAUACCGCAUAACAAUGGAUGACACAUGUCAUUUAUUUGAAAGGGGCAAUUGCUCCACUACAAGAUGGACCUGCGUUGUAUUAGCUAGUAGGUGAGGUAACGGCUCACCUAGGCGACGAUACAUAGCCGACCUGAGAGGGUGAUCGGCCACACUGGGACUGAGACACGGCCCAGACUCCUACGGGAGGCAGCAGUAGGGAAUCUUCGGCAAUGGGGGCAACCCUGACCGAGCAACGCCGCGUGAGUGAAGAAGGUUUUCGGAUCGUAAAGCUCUGUUGUAAGUCAAGAACGAGUGUGAGAGUGGAAAGUUCACACUGUGACGGUAGCUUACCAGAAAGGGACGGCUAACUACGUGCCAGCAGCCGCGGUAAUACGUAGGUCCCGAGCGUUGUCCGGAUUUAUUGGGCGUAAAGCGAGCGCAGGCGGUUUGAUAAGUCUGAAGUUAAAGGCUGUGGCUCAACCAUAGUUCGCUUUGGAAACUGUCAAACUUGAGUGCAGAAGGGGAGAGUGGAAUUCCAUGUGUAGCGGUGAAAUGCGUAGAUAUAUGGAGGAACACCGGUGGCGAAAGCGGCUCUCUGGUCUGUAACUGACGCUGAGGCUCGAAAGCGUGGGGAGCGAACAGGAUUAGAUACCCUGGUAGUCCACGCCGUAAACGAUGAGUGCUAGGUGUUGGAUCCUUUCCGGGAUUCAGUGCCGCAGCUAACGCAUUAAGCACUCCGCCUGGGGAGUACGACCGCAAGGUUGAAACUCAAAGGAAUUGACGGGGGCCCGCACAAGCGGUGGAGCAUGUGGUUUAAUUCGAAGCAACGCGAAGAACCUUACCAGGUCUUGACAUCCCGAUGCUAUUUCUAGAGAUAGAAAGUUACUUCGGUACAUCGGUGACAGGUGGUGCAUGGUUGUCGUCAGCUCGUGUCGUGAGAUGUUGGGUUAAGUCCCGCAACGAGCGCAACCCCUAUUGUUAGUUGCCAUCAUUCAGUUGGGCACUCUAGCGAGACUGCCGGUAAUAAACCGGAGGAAGGUGGGGAUGACGUCAAAUCAUCAUGCCCCUUAUGACCUGGGCUACACACGUGCUACAAUGGUUGGUACAACGAGUUGCGAGUCGGUGACGGCAAGCUAAUCUCUUAAAGCCAAUCUCAGUUCGGAUUGUAGGCUGCAACUCGCCUACAUGAAGUCGGAAUCGCUAGUAAUCGCGGAUCAGCACGCCGCGGUGAAUACGUUCCCGGGCCUUGUACACACCGCCCGUCACACCACGAGAGUUUGUAACACCCGAAGUCGGUGAGGUAACCUUUUGGAGCCAGCCGCCUAAGGUGGGAUAGAUGAUUGGGGUGAAGUCGUAACAAGGUAGCCGUAUCGGAAGGUGCG
rnacentral:rRNA from 1 species